rnacentral:rRNA from 3 species
CCCCGGGCUCAACCUGGGAACUGCAUUCGAAACUGGCAGGCUUGAGUCUUGUAGAGGGGGGUAGAAUUCCAGGUGUAGCGGUGAAAUGCGUAGAGAUCUGGAGGAAUACCGGUGGCGAAGGCGGCCCCCUGGACAAAGACUGACGCUCAGGUGCGAAAGCGUGGGGAGCAAACAGGAUUAGAUACCCUGGUAGUCCACGCCGUAAACGAUGUCUACUUGGAGGUUGUGCCCUUGAGGCGUGGCUUCCGGAGCUAACGCGUUAAGUAGACCGCCUGGGGAGUACGGCCGCAAGGUUAAAACUCAAAUGAAUUGACGGGGGCCCGCACAAGCGGUGGAGCAUGUGGUUUAAUUCGAUGCAACGCGAAGAACC